rnacentral:rRNA from 1 species
CCUACGGGUGGCAGCAGUCGAGAAUCAUUCACAAUGGGGGAAACCCUGAUGGUGCGACGCCGCGUGGGGGAAUGCAGGUCUUCGGAUUGUAAACUCCUGUCAUGUGGGAGCAAAUUAAAAAGAUAGUACCACAAGAGGAAGAGACGGCUAACUCUGUGCCAGCAGCCGCGGUAAUACAGAGGUCUCAAGCGUUGUUCGGAGUCACUGGGCGUAAAGCGUGCGUAGGCUGUUUCGUAAGUCGGGUGUGAAAGGCGCGGGCUCAACCCGCGGACGGCAACUGAUACUGGGAGACUAGAGUAAAGGAGGGGGAACCGGAAUUCGCGGUGUAGCAGUGAAAUGCGUAGAUAUCGAGAGGAACACUCGUGGCGAAGGCGGGUUCCUGGACAGUAACUGACGCUGAGGCACGAAGGCCAGGGGAGCGAAAGGGAUUAGAUACCCCUGUAGUC